UAAAUGGUUCUAAGGGCCUUUGAAAGGCAUGGAAUUUGGUGUUUAUGUCUAGGCAAAGAGUGGAACAAAAAAAGCAUAGAAAAGAAUACCCAAUAAUUACACCCUUAAGAGCCUAAAAUUUUUUAAAAAGGUUUUAAUUACAUUGCUCAUAU